UAUUGCACAAUGGGGGAAACCCUGAUUCAGCGACUCCGCGUGAGUGAAGAAGUAUUUCGGUAUGUAAAGCUCUAUCAGCAGGGAAGAAAAUGACGGUACUUGAUUAAGAAGCCCCGGCUAACUACGUGCCAGCAGCCGCUGUAAUACGUAGGGGGCAAGCGUUAUCCGGAUUUACUGGGUGUAAAGGGAGCGUAGACGGCAGCACAAGUCUGGAGUGAAAUGCCGGGGCUUAACCCCGGAACUGCUUUGGAAACCGUGCAGCUAGAGUGCAGGAGAGGUAAGUGGAAUUCCUAGUGUAGCGGUGAAAUGCGUAGAUAUUAGGAGGAACACCAGUGGCGAAGGCGGCUUACUGGACUGUAACUGACACUGAGGUACGAAAGCGUGGGGAGCAAACAGG
rnacentral:rRNA from 1 species